CCAAGGCUUCCCUUGCGAUUUGUGGUUUUAACACCUUGUUAUGAGGUGUGAACGUUCUGAGAUAACAUUCUAAUUGGGGUUUUGUGGUGGUCCACGUUCGGAAGGUGAAUGGAUUCCCUUCGUGACAGCACCUCCCGCACCGCGAGCAGACAGUUUUAGGCAAACACACAGAGCAAACUACAGUUGCAAGAUAGGGAAUAUAGCGAAAAGGAAGGGAGAACACAUACAAAAACAGUACAC